ACGACCUUACUUGAACAGGAUCUGUUCUAUAGGCUCGUACCACUGUAUCCUUGAGUUCUACGGAGACAGGAAAUCAAGUCUGGUUGAUGAAUUCUGGCCGUUAGGCUAGAGCGUGAUUAAUCACUUCUGUGACCCUCGGGUCAUGGUGCCGUAGAUGAUCGUUCUUAGCUCCGAUUUAUAGGUGUUGGGAUGGUCUAAUGGUUGUCUGACAGACU